rnacentral:rRNA from 1 species
CCUGGCGGCAGUAGCGCGGUGGUCCCACCUGACCCCAUGCCGAACUCAGAAGUGAAACGCCGUAGCGCCGAUGGUAGUGUGGGGUCUCCUUGCGGCGCAGGCUGGGCUUCCGGGA